rnacentral:misc_RNA from 1 species
GAUGAAGAACGUAAGCGAAAUGCGAUACGUAAUGUGAAUUGCAGAAUUCAGUGAAUCAUCGAGUCUUUGAACGCACAUUGCGCCCCCUGGUAUUCCGGGGGGCAUGCCUGUCCGAGCGUCAUUGCUGCCCUCAAGCACGGCUUGUGUGUUGGGCCUCCGUCCUCCUCCCGGGGGACGGGCCCGAAAGGCAGCGGCGGCACCGCGUCCGGUCCUCGAGCGUAUGGGGCUUCGUCACCCGCUCUUGUAGGCCCGGCCGGCGCUUGCCGACACAUCAAUCUUUUUUCCAGGUUGACCUCGGAUCAGGUAGGGAUACCCGCUGAACUUAAGCAUAUCAAUAAGCGGAGGA